GGGAUAGCUCAGUUGGUAGAACAUGAGAUUCUUACUCUCAGGGUUGUGGGGUUCAGGCCAAUGUUGGACCA